GCCAGAAGUCCUCUGUGGGUGCAGGCUGCAGCUGCAGAGAGAGUUGAGGCUCUGGCUAAGAUGAAAGGACUUUGGGAGCGGCAUGGGGGGAUGCCAGAAAGUCUUUCCCUCUUCUCCUCUCCUCUGGGGUCUCCAUGGUGACCGGGCAGGGGUCCGAUAGAUAUUCUAGUUAUGCGACUUGGGCCAAUCCUAUAUCCACCUCCCACAGGGUUCUUGACUCCACAUGCAGAGCGGGCUGAAGCCACUCCUGCUAUCCAGGCAGCGCCUGUCCUAACAAGGAUUCAAUCAAUAUCUCUUGCACUUAUGCGAAGAUUUUCCUAGUGAAAAUACCCAAGACUUCCGGGGCAGCACUCCAGCGCUAACAUGAUUCCACAUGUGUUGUGAGUUAGCAGCCUGCUACUGUCUGUGUAAACGCAAGAGCUGGGUUUGGUUUGCCGUUCUGAAAUACACCGGUGAAAGUCAGCAGUCUCCUCCUCGAAAUCAGACGGAGGGCAAAAGGCAGAAGAAGAUCGCGAUAAGACCCAGGAGGUAACAGUCAUAGGGGUGGAGAUCUGCUUCAUAAAAAGCCACCGCAGGGGCACCAGAAGGGCACAUGUGACCACCAGGCAGGGGUGCGAACCCUUCUUCGCAGUCACCCCGAUCACCCACUCAUUUUACAGCCCAGGGACUGCAAAACGGACUAGCCCAUGCCAAGGAAGACGGGACCGAAGGCUGGAGCGAGCGCCUGCAGGCUGAUGGAGUGACUGACUGACAACUUACACUCAAGCAAGAAAUCAAAUAGAAAUGGAGCCAGGAAGUGCUCCACAGAGGACAUAACUGAGAGAUGCAAGCAAGAAUUAGCUCCCUCUCGGUGUGACAGAGUAAACACUAGAUCAGUGGUGAGCUGGGGGGCGGGGAGGGGCGACAAGGGGAUGGAGGAGACACAACACGUGAGACAUUGCCUACCUUCAUUACCAACUGUGCCUUUAAAGACACGGGAGGUUUUAAUGCGUGUAGCCAUGCUGAUCUUUGUACUUAUGAGUGGAAAACUUUUUUGUUUGCUUGCUUGCUUGUUUUAUUCUUCCGUGGGGAUCGUAGCCAGGGCUCUGUUCACGCCGACCACGUAGUCUACUACUGAGCUGCGUCUCAGUCUCCCCCUCCCGCGACCCCAUAGGAGUUUUUCCUGUAAGGAUCUUGAGUCCUGGCAUGACAUUAAAGAAAAGCAGUACAAUUGCGCAGAACCA
rnacentral:lncRNA from 1 species